CAGCCGCCGCGGGAAUACGUAGGUGGCAAGCGUUGUCCGGAAUUAUUGGGCGUAAAGGGCUCGCAGGCGGUCUCUUAAGUCUGAUGUGAAAGCCCCCGGCUCAACCGGGGAGGGUCAUUGGAAACUGGGAAACUUGAGUGCAGAAGAGGAGAGUGGAAUUCCACGUGUAGCGGUGAAAUGCGUAGAGAUGUGGAGGAACACCAGUGGCGAAGGCGACUCUCUGGUCUGUAACUGACGCUGAGGAGCGAAAGCGUGGGGAGCGAACAGGAUUAGAUACCCCAGUAGUCCCUGUCUCUUAUAA
rnacentral:rRNA from 1 species